GCCUGGGUGGCUCAGUUGGUUUAAGCAUCUGACUUCGACUCAGGUCAUGAUCUCGCGGUUUGUGAGUUCGAGCCCCACAUCGGGCU
rfam:Felis catus isolate Cinnamon breed Abyssinian chromosome E2, whole genome shotgun sequence.